GAUGAACGCUGGCGGCGUGCCUAAUACAUGCAAGUCGAGCGAACGGACGAGAAGCUUGCUUUUCUGAUGUUAGCGGCGGACGGGUGAGUAACACGUGGAUAACCUACCUAUAAGACUGGGAUAACUUCGGGAAACCGGAUCUAAUACCGGAUAAUAUUUUGAACCGCAUGGUUCAACAGUGAAAGACGGUCUUGCUGUCACUUAUAGAUGGAUCCGCGCUGCAUUAGCUAGUUGGUAAGGUAACGGCUUACCAAGGCAACGAUGCAUAGCCGACCUGAGAGGGUGAACGCACACACUAACACAGAGACACGGCACAGACUCAUACGGGGGGCAGGAGUAGAGAAUUGGACGAUGGGGGCGAGAGCCUGACAGCGCAACGGCGCGUGUGUGAAGAGGGUCCUGGGUGCGAAAAACUCUGUUAUUGGGGAAAAAGAUGUGUGUAAGUAACUGGGCAUAUUGUGACGAUACCUAAACAGAGCGCCGCGGCUCACUGCG
rnacentral:rRNA from 1 species